AACGAACGCUGGCGGCAUGCCUAACACAUGCAAGUCGAACGGAACCUUCGGGUUUGCUGGCGCACUCGUGCGUAACGCGUUGGAACCUGCCUUUAGGUUCGGCAUAACUCCCCGAAAGGGGUCCUAAUACCGGCUAAUGUCCUCCGACCAACGAUUUAUCGCCUUUGGAUGGGCCCGCGUGGGAUUAGCUCGUUGUUAGGGUAAAAGCCUACCAAGGCGACGAUACAUAGCUGGUCUGAGAGGAUGAGCAGCCACACUGGGACUGAGACACGGCCCAGACUCAUACGGGAGGGAGCAGUGGGGAAUAUUGGAAAAUGGGCGAAAGGCUGAACGAGCAAGGCCGCGUGAGUGAUGAAGGCCUUAGGGUAGUAAAGCAAGUUUAUCCGGGAUGAUAAUGACGGUACCGGGAGAAUAAGCACCGGCUAACUUCGUG
rnacentral:rRNA from 1 species